CUUCAGUUAAGAUUCUGGGCCAUGGUUAGGAAACUUAUCCCCCAUUCCCAGAUUAUGGAGGAAUUCACCUACAUUUUCUUCUGGGACAUAUUUCUACUUUGGAUCCUGCCAAAAUUACAUGUUAGUCAUUUCAAUGUAGAAAAAAUAUUCAGGUUAACAACUAGUGUUUGUUUAAAUUUUGUUUUUAGUCAUAUAAAGGCUACAAUUAAAUUCUGAUGGCAAAAGAUGCCUUUUAAUAACCAUGCAAGAAAGGAGAAAAAAAUUUAAAAAAUCGAAUCUCAGGGAUAUGAUAGAUAAAAUAAAACAUCCAAACUUAAGACUCAUUGGUGUCCCAGAAGGGGAAGA